rnacentral:lncRNA from 9 species
CCACCCCCGCAGAGACAGAGAGCCGGCCUGCGCCUCCGGGGCUGGAGGUGCCUGUGCCUGGCACGGGGACGUCCCUGUCAGAGGGCAGCAGCGGGCACCGUGGAGAGUUUACCCAACCCUCUCAACCGUUCACUUCAAAGGAAUGUAUUUUAUAGCAUGUAAAUCACUCCACAACAACGCUAUUAAAAGGCAUCACACAGCUGCACAAAACCACACAGAGUCAUUCAACAGACGGCACAGAGCACAGCCACUCACUCCAGCAGGACGGGUUCUGUUUCAGAGAAAUGAAGCAUUGUCAACAAAAUGCCAUGAAGUCAGAGAAUUAGCCCAUCUGGUUGACCAGGAAAUUAAAGAAAUGAAUUAACCCGAGCGGUAAAGGCAUGUUGGAAGCGGCUGGAAGGACAGGGAAUGGCCUGGAGAGCAGAUUCCUAGCAUUCUGCCCUGGCACCUCCUCUGUGCACCGAGGGGCCAGGACCAUCCACUUGGGAGUCAGAGCGCUUCCGCCCUGUAGGAAGAAGCCAGCUGUGGACCGCGGGGACCGCAGGGCAAGAGCUUGGGACGGUGGCUCAGCACCCGGGCCUGCAGCAGGGCCAGGGGGAUGGCCGCGCACACGGCCGGGAGCCUCCCACCCCAGGUGGGCUGCCUUCCACCCCGCCUUUCACCCCACUGAGCAAGUGAUGCUGCCAAGCAGGUGGACCGUCCCUACAGAGGGGCCAGGGUCCGUCGCCUGCUGCGCAGCCCAUUUCUGCCCUCGGAGGCCACCUGCCCGCCCUCUUCUGAGGGAUCUGCCCGGCUGGGAGCCCAUGCUGCCUGCUGCUAGGACUCCCGGGACACAGGCUGCAGCUCAGCAGAAAGACGUGCUUUGGGAAGUACAAUGGAUUUUGGCAAAAGGCUGUCCAGGUGCCAGGGCCACCACUGGGGGGCCCCGUUCAUCUUCGAGGCUCUGCUGGGUGGGAAGGUGUGGACGCUGGCACAGGGCUGCAGGUUCAAGCCCAGACCAUCUGUCCACUGGCAUCAGAGGGACGUGGGGAGGGGUCCCUGGGUCUCCGAGCCUCUGCUUCCCCAGCUGCAUGGCAGAUCCCGGGCUCAGCGACCUGGCGUGUGUGGCAGAGGAAUGAGGUGGGGGUCCUCCCCAGAGCCAGGGUGCUGUGCCUUCCCUCUGCUCAGGACAGCAAGCUUGGGAUUCGCCCCGUCUCUCUUUUGUUCCCACCCCGAGACCAGAGAUAGCAAAUCCUCAAAUCCUCAUGCCUUUACCUUCAAACCACCCCCACCUGCCGGUCCACAGCCCAGACCACGGCGGCGGGGGGGGGGGACAUCCUCUUCCG